rnacentral:rRNA from 1 species
UACGUAGGGGGCAAGCGUUGUCCGGAAUCAUUGGGCGUAAAGAGCGCGUAGGCGGCCAGAUAAGUCCGGUGUGAAAGUCACAGGCUCAACCUGUGAAUGCCGCUGGAAACUGUCUGGCUAGAGUCCGGGAGGGGCGAGUGGAAUUCCUGGUGUAGCGGUGAAAUGCGCAGAUAUCAGGAGGAACACCAAUGGCGAAGGCAGCUCGCUGGAACGGAACUGACGCUGAGACGCGAAAGCGUGGGGAGAGAACAGG